CAACGCAUUAUUACCGUGGCGCCAGAGAUGACGUAUCUUCUCCAAGGAACCUUCCUCCACGUGCUCACGAUCACGUGACACAUACGCGCUCAACAGAAGCUCCUUCUCUUCCUUGUGGUCUCCAAUGACUUUUCACAGACCGGCUUUCUCUUCUCCAUCACGGCAUCACACACCUCUAUAUAUAUCGCCACUGAGUUAUUGUCUCUCUCUCACAACAUUUUCUCUGAGAUACAGUUUUCUAGAUAACUUCGUACAAGAUUGUGUAAGGUUUUGAUUUGUCGUUGACUCUCCAAGAUUUUCGGACCAAACUAGUUUUGUCUGUUUUUUCAAAGAGAUGGAAGUGGGUGUCCUAAAGCCGUCUUUUUCGAUCGGAAAGCUAUCUUCUCUGGCGCCGGAGAAGAUUCUGGAGCCAUCUGUUCACUCGGAAGAAGAGGUUUUAGAGGACGGAGAAGAGAUCGAUGGUGGUGUGAGACUUAUGUAUUUGUCUAAUGAAGGAGACAUUGAAGGGAUCAAGGAGCUUCUUGAUUCCGGGAUCGAUGCUAACUACAGAGACAUUGAUGAUCGUACUGCUCUCCACGUGGCGUCUUGCCAGGGGCUUAAAGAUGUCGUGGAAUUACUUCUUGAAUGGGAAGCUGAAGUUGAUCCUAAAGAUCGAUGGGGAAGCACGCCUCUUGCAGAUGCGAUAUUCUACAAGAACAUUGAUGUAAUCAAGAUACUUGAGACUCAUGGAGCUAAACAUCCGAUGGCUCCAAUGCACGUGGAAGCUGCUCUUGAAGUCCCUGAAUAUGAAAUCAAUCCCGACGAGCUUGAUUUCACUCAAAGCAGAGAGAUAUCAAACGGAACUUAUUGUAUGGCAAUGUGGCGUGGCAUUCAAGUUGCGGUGAAGAAGCUCGAUGAUGAAGUUUUGAGCGAUGAGGAACAAGUAAGGAGAUUCCAUGAUGAGCUUGCAUUGCUCCAAAGGCUUAGGCAUCCAAACAUUGUUCAGUUUCUUGGUGCUGUUACUCAAAGUAAUCCAAUGAUGAUUGUUACUGAAUAUUUGCCUAGGGGGGAUUUGCGCGAAUUGCUGAAAAGGAAAGUACAUUUAAAACCAGCUACCGCUGUUAGAUACGCCCUUGAUAUUGCAAGGGGAAUGAGCUAUCUUCAUGAGAUCAAAGGAGACCCUAUCAUCCACCGAGAUCUUGAACCUUCAAACAUACUGCGGGAUGAUACAGGGCAUCUGAAAGUUGCAGACUUUGCAGUAAGCAAGCUUGUUACUGUUAAAGAAGACAAGCCUUUGACAUUUCUAGACACUUCUUGUCGAUAUAUUGCUCCCGAGGUUUUCACCAGCGAUGAAUACGACACCAAAGCUGAUGUUUUCUCCUUUGCAUUGAUUGUUCAAGAGUGUCUGAAUGUUUUAGAUGAUCGAAGGAAGAAUACCCUUUGCGGAAAAGGAAGACAGUGAAGCUUCAGAAGCUUAUGCAUGCAAAGAGCGUCCAUCUUUCAAAGCUCCAACUAAGCAUUACCCUCAUGGACUUAAGUCGUUGAUAGAAGAAUGCUGGUUAGAUAAACCGGCCAAGCGACCGACUUUCAGAGCGAUCAUUAAACGGCUUGAGUCCAUUCUUCACCAUAUGGGCCACAAGCGACAAUGGAGGGUCUCUCUCUCUUUGCACACUGAUCAAUGAGAUUUUUGUCUUGUGGAUUAUGUUUUGUUCGUCUCUCUAAUGUGUUUCUUCUUCCACAUGUUUUUUGUUAUCAGAUAAAGCCAUUGACAUGCUUUCAGAAGUUCGAGCACAAGAAAAAACAUAAUUGGGAUGUUAGCAGCCCUGAUGGCUCUUCAUCGGGUUCACAUUUGUGAUUCUUUAACCGGUUAAAAAUGAUUCUUUUGUAUUCUUUCCGCUUUAGUUUGGCUUUCCCCUAAACAGCCGAAUUUUACUUUGUAAUGUUGUUUUACUUUGAAGAAAGUAUUCGUGUGGUCUUGGACAGAAGUUGCAUUUUAUUUUAGUAUUAAGUUGUAACGAGUCUUCAGAUUUUUGAAGCUGUAUAAUACAUGUCUAACGAAUUAUAAGGAAUUUGUUUCAAUCGA